UUUCCUACGGGGGGCAGCAGUUGGGAAUAUUGGACAAUGGAGGAAACUCUGAUCCAGUGACGCCGCGUGAAGGAAGAAGGUCUUCGGAUUGUAAACUUAUUUUAUCAGGGAAGAAAAAAAUGACUGUACCUGAAGAAGAAGCACCGGCUAACUACGUGCCAGCAGCCGCGGUAAUACGUAGGGUGCAAGCGUUAUCCGGAUUUACUGGGUGUAAAGGGAGCGUAGACGGCAGGGCAAGUCUGGAGUGAAAGCCCGGGGCCCAACCCCGGGACUGCUUUGGCAACUGCCA
rnacentral:rRNA from 1 species